rnacentral:rRNA from 1 species
UGCGUAGGUGGCCUUUUAAGUUGGAUGUGAAAUACCCGGGCUUAACUUGGGGGGUGCAUCUAAUACUGGAGGGCUAGAGUGCAGGAGAGGAAAGCGGAAUUCCUAGUGUAGCGGUGAAAUGCGUAGAUAUUAGGAGGAACACCAGUGGCGAAGGCGGCUUUCUGGACUGUAACUGACACUGAGGCACGAAAGCGUGGGGAGCAAACAG